rnacentral:rRNA from 1 species
CGGAGAGUUUGAUCCUGGCUCAGGACGAACGCUGGCGGCGUGCCUAAUACAUGCAAGUCGAGCGGGCUUUUGA